CAUUUGGGUGGUCCUCCUUGCCUCUUUCCCUUCCAUUCAUACUCUUUACGCAUGAACUUGUGGAACUUUUUAAUAACGAGUCCAAACUCGUUAUCCUCAUCGCUUGAAUCCUCAAUGACUUGAGGUUGUGAUGUGGAGGCCUUGAGUGCAAUGCAUCUUUUCCUUUGAUCUUCCAAAGGAGGGUUAAGAAUGGUGGACUCGUACGUCUUUAGAUUCCCC
rnacentral:lncRNA from 1 species